AGUUGUUAAUGUGUGUGGUUUGCACUGAGAAACAUGCAACGGAAAUUUUUCGCGAUUAAAUACAUUUAUAUCAGUAUUAAGUAACUGUUCAAGAUAAGCUAUUUCAAUCAAUCCCUUUUCGGAAGAAUUUCUUAUUGUAUUAAUGAGAAAAGGAUGUUGUUAUUCAGUAAAAGGAUAUAUGUAUAUGUACCUAUAUACACGAAUUAAUUAUUGAUUUAUGAAAUUGUUCAAUGGACUAAAGCGAGUUCGAGUUAGUGGUUAAACAAGUUUUAAGGGUAUUGAAGUUACCGCGAGUUAACUGUACGUUAUUAUUGGAGCGGUGGUUGUGUUAAUGGUGAUGUAGCAGUAGUAUUGGUGGUGUUGGUGAAACUCAGUAAAAUUGUACUCCCGCUGUGUAUGUACUACAUAUGCACGUGUAAGGCUGGUGUUAAAUUGCGAGAUAGUGAAACUGGAUAUAUAUUGUAGAUUUUGUUAUAUGUUUCUAUUGCAUGGACUUGGCUCUCAGUAUCAAAAUAGCAUUUAUAAUAUAAUGCAGAUAAAAGCGUGUACAUGGAAAUAUAUAAUUAUUAUAUGUAUAAAGACAUAGCAUAAAUGUUGCUGUUAAUAUCGAAAAAAAAUCACCUAUCUUGAGAAAUCGAUACGAUAUUUCAGUGAGACGCUCAUUGUUUAAUAUAUAUAUAUGAAUAUAGUAUAUAUCAGCAGUCGUUUACUUAGAAGCAGACGACUAAUUUGUAAAGAAUACGUAAUGAAAACAUAAAGCAUUUUGAAAAUAUUUCCGGUUGACAAUUAUUGACCGGACAUAAAGCCGUCUCCUAAAUAUUGGGCCAAUGGACCACUUGGAUUCUUGUAUAAAUUACUAUGCUCCGGGUUCGGCACCUUAAAAAAUGGUUUCAGCGACUAACACGAUCUAAUACAACUAUAGCGCAAAUAACAUACGCGUCAAUAAACAGUUUGUCCUUCUUACAGACAAGAAAGUUUGAAAAAAUUAAAAUUGAUACGAAGACUUGGAUACAUUUAUAAGAACAAGUGAGGCGAACUUCAGAAAAAAUGACCCAACUCUUGUAAGCAACAAUUCUUCCAAUUUUUAUACGGGAAUGGUUACGACAUGGUUAUGGCUGGAAUUUAAACGGGCUCUGUCUAAUAUAAAAGAAAGCCAUCCACUUAAAAGAAUCGCACUUAUAUACACAAAGUGAUUUUAAAGAUUUAGUACGUGAUUUGAAUAUGUCUAAAAAUCAGGCUGAAUUUUCUAGCUUUUAGGUGUAAUAUGUCCUUAAAAAUACAAAUUCUAAAUUCUCAUCUGGAUGAGAGUGACAAACAAGGCGAGACAUUUCCUUAAUGGAGAAGCGCUAUCAGGGAAUAUGGAGCGCAGGAAUGUUAGUAGAUUAUUGUUGGAGACUUAAAGAAGACAUUCCAGUAGCCAAAUAUUGACGAAAAUCAUAAGCAUUUUUUUCUAUAUUGAGCAAUAAUUUCUAUAAAUACAGCUGAUGUUUGUAAUUUUUAAGAAUAUAUAAUAUAGUUUUGAUAAAAGCCUGACGAGUAAA